rnacentral:lncRNA from 1 species
UGAAUGAAAAAUAAAAAAAGAAUCAUCUCAGAUCUCAUCUCCUAGAAGUCUAGCUUAAUCUCUGUUUGCUAGAACACUCUUCCAAAAGUUAAUUUUUCUAUAUAUUUUGUAUUGAAUUUUCUGUAUAUACAUUGUUUUCCUGCAAUAGAAUGUCAGUUCCCUGAAGACAGCGACCAUUUGGGGUUUUGUCUGCAUAUUCCAGAGUAUAACACGGUACCUGACAAAUGGCAUGGCACCAGAGGAUACACCAUACACUUGGGAGUAGAGUGGGGCAGGGAUUCUCUGGCAGGUAUAGCUAGAAGAGACUGUGAACAGAGACUAUUAUACAUACUCCUUAAGAUCAAGGAAAGGAAUGUUUGAAAGUCCUCUAUUUCACUGAAUAUCCAUUUCUCCCCCUGAAGGAUCAUGCUCAGUUUUUCUGGGUAAGUGUUUCUUGGUUGAAGUCCUAGCUCCUUUGCCCUCUGGAAUAUUAUAUCUUAGGCCCUCUGAUCUUAUCCUUUAAUGUAGAAACUGUUAAGUCUUGUGUUAUCCUGACUGAAGCUUCAUGAUAUUUGAAUUAUUUCUUUUUGACUACUUGCAGUAUUUUACACAUGACCUGAGAGUUUUGGAAUUUGGCUAUAAUAUUCCUGAGAGUUAUUCUUUCGGGAUUUCUUUCAGGGGGUGAUCAGUAGAUUCUUUCAAUUUCAAUUUUGUCCUCUGUUUCUAGAAUAUCAGGACAUAUUUCCUUUUGAGAAGAUGUUUAAGCUCUUGUUUUGAUCAUGGCUUUCAGGUAGUCCAAUAAUUCUUAAAUUAUUUCUCCUAGAUUUAUUUUCCAGAUCAGUUGUUUUUUUCAUGAGUAUUUCACAUUUUGUUCUAUUUUUUCAUUCUUUUGACUUUGAUUGUUUUUUGAUGUCUUGUGGAGUCAUUAGCUUCCACUUGCCAAAUUUUAAUUUUUAAGAAAUUAUUUUCUUGAGUGAGCUUUUGUUCCUCCUUUUCCAUUUGACCAAUUCGACUUUGUAAAGAGUUUUUUUCCUCAGUGAAUUUUUUUGUACUUCUUUUUCCAAAGGGCCAAUUCUGUCUUUCAAGAAGUUUUUCUCUUCUAUGCAUUUCUUUUUUAUACCUUUUUCCAUUUGGUCAGUUCUGCUUUUUUAAAAACUCUUUCCCUUCUGUCUUGGAAUUAAUACUGUGUAUUGGCUCCGAUGCAGAAGAGUGGUAAGGGCUAGGCAAUGGGGGUC